CCUACGGGGGGCUGCAGUGGGGAAUAUUGGACAAUGGGGGGAACCCUGAUCCAGCCAUGCCGCGUGUGUGAAGAAGGCCCUCGGGUUGUAAAGCACUUUCAGUGAGGAAGAACGCCUGGUGGUUAAUACCCAUCAGGAAAGACAUCACUCACAGAAGAAGCACCGGCUAACUCCGUGCCAGCAGCCGCGGUAAUACGGAGGGUGCGAGCGUUAAUCGGAAUUACUGGGCGUAAAGCGCGCGUAGGUGGCUUGAUAAGCCGGUUGUGAAAGCCCCGGGCUCAACCUGGGAACGGCAUCCGGAACUGUCAAGCUAGAGUGCAGGAGAGGAAGGUAGAAUUCCAGGUGUAGCGGUGAAAUGCGUAGAGAUCGGGAGGAAUACCAGUGGCGAAGGCGGCCUUCUGGACUGACACUGACACUGAGGUGCGAAAGCGUGGGUAGCAAACAGGAUUAGAUACCCCUGUAGUC
rnacentral:rRNA from 1 species